AUUAGGUUUAAUGAGUUAUAAAAAAUUGACGAACAUGGGUUCUACUGAGAUUGUACAAGAAGAUACUGAAAUUUCUUUAUCUUUGAUUACAAGACUUUAUUACGCUGCACGAGAUGGAAUGGCUAUUGUAUUAUAUGGUCUUCUUAGUGAUAAACCACCAGGAAAAAUUGAUUAUCUUAUUAAUCAGAAAGUUUUGGAAGACGGACAAAAGUGUACACUUUUAAUAAUCGCAGCACGAUAUGGUCAUGUCAGGGUUGUCAAGACAUUGAUUGAUAAAUUUAAGCCUGAUCUCGAACAAGAAGGAAUUGUCAAAUUUGAUGGAUAUGUUAUCGAUGGAGCAACUGCCCUUUGGUGUGCCGCAGGGGCAGGCCAUUUGAAAACUGUUAAAACUCUUGUUAAAGCUGGAGCAGAUGUGAAUCAUCCGACUAAGACUAAUUCAACUCCUCUUCGAGCUGCAUGUUUUGAAGGACGAUUGGAUAUUGUUAAAUAUUUAAUAGACCAUGGUGCAAACAUACAUAUAUCUAAUAAAUUCAAUAAUACCUGUUUGAUGAUUGCAGCAAACAAUGGACAUUUGGAUGUUGUGAGUUUUCUUUUAAAAAAUAAUGCAGACCCUAACGAAAAAGCACUUUGUGGUAGAACAGCAUUACAUUUUGCAGCCGAGUGUGGUCAUACACAAAUAGUUUCUGAAUUAUUAAGUUAUGGUACAAAAAUAACAAAAAACGUCAGUGGUAUGACUCCUCUGAUAGCUGCUGCUGAACGAACGUGUACAUCCGUAGUAGAGUUCUUAGCAGCUCGUACAGAAGUAACAAAAAGAGAAGUAAUUGAUGCUUAUGAAUUACUUGGGGCAUCUUACGCAAAUGACAAAGAUUUGUACAACUUGACAUUAGCAUAUACAUAUUUACAUAAAGCAAUGGAGUUAAGAUAUAGCGAUCCUAAUGAUAUUGUACAUAAAGAAUUAGGUGAAACGGUGAAAGCAUAUGAACAUUGGAGAGAAUGUGAUACAUUAGAAAAAUUAGAAAAUAUUAAGAAUAAUCCCAAUUCGCUUCAUAUGGAAUCUCUUGCUAUUCGAGAAAGAAUACUAGGACCUGACAAUCCAGAAUUACCACAUCCUAUAAUAUUUAGGGGUGCUGUUUUUGCAGAUAAUGCAAGGUUUGACAGAUGUAUUGAUUUAUGGCUUCAUGCCUUAAAAUUAAGGCAGUUACAUAAUAUAUCUGCUGUGAAAGAUCUUCUUCGAUUUGCACAAGUUUUUUCUCAAAUGAUUCAUGUUGGAGUAGAUCCUGAUUUUUCUCAAGUUAUAAAUGUAUUAGAAGCAUGUGUUACAGAAUUGGGACGUAAUAAAAAUAAAAUGCACAAUCCGGAUCCUAUAGAUGGCAUUGACCAAUAUAUGGAAGAGAUGGAAUCAAACAUUACGACAACUUUAUAUAUUUUAACAAUUUUAAGUAAGUUAAUAACAUUAAAUGAAAAAUAUUAUAAUGAAGCUGACGUUUCUAAAGCUCGUUAUUUGGUACACAAAUUAUGUACAUUAAAAGUUAAAAUGAGGGAUGGCCAAACAUUUCUACAUCUUGCUGUUAAUUCUGAAACACCGGUUGAUGAUUUUCAUACUGAUGAUGUGUGCAAAUUUCCAUGUGCAGAUACAGCUAAGUUAUUAAUACAAUGUGGUGCAAAUGUUAAUGCAAUGGAUGACGAAAGAAAUACUCCUCUUCAUGUUAUUGUUUGCUAUAGGAGAGUGACUAAUGAUUUUAUGACACUUUAUUCGAUAAUUAUGGAAUUAAUUGAGGCUGGUGCACAUAUAGAUGCUGUAAAUAGUAAUGGAAAGACUCCAUAUGAAUCUGUAGCAACGGGCAUAGCCUACGAUAGGCCAUCCUAUGAUGUAUCUUAUGUAUAUAGAAAGUAUCAUAGCAAAGGACUGCCGAGGGACAGGCUAGCCAGUGAAAUCUAAGAACAGUGUAUUACUGAAAGCAUUGAGAGUAAACAUCGAAUACUCAAAGCAGCAGUGUGGCCGAAAUAUUACUGCGUACUCAUACAAAAUUAUCUUUAAAAUGUAUGGCAGCAAAAGCAGUGAAAACAUAUAACUUAUCUUAUUGUGGCAAUGUAC
rnacentral:misc_RNA from 1 species